ACUGGUGUGUUACAAUUUGUAUUCCCGCCUGUCACGCGGGUGACCCGGGUUCGAUCCCCGGCAACGGCG
rnacentral:tRNA from 1 species